UUUUAUGGAGAGUUUGAUCCUGGCUCAGGAUGAACGCUGGCGGCGUGCCUAAUACAUGCAAGUCGAGCGAACAGACGAGGAGCUUGCUCCUCUGACGUUAGCGGCGGACGGGUGAGUAACACGUGGAUAACCUACCUAUAAGACUGGGAUAACUUCGGGAAACCGGAGCUAAUACCGGAUAAUAUAUUGAACCGCAUGGUUCAAUAGUGAAAGACGGUUUUGCUGUCACUUAUAGAUGGAUCCGCGCCGCAUUAGCUAGUUGGUAGGGUAACGGCUUACCAAGGCGACGAUGCGUAGCCGACCUGAGAGGGUGAUCGGCCACACUGGAACUGAGACACGGUCCAGACUCCUACGGGAGGCAGCAGUAGGGAAUCUUCCGCAAUGGGCGAAAGCCUGACGGAGCAACGCCGCGUGAGUGAUGAAG
rnacentral:rRNA from 1 species